UAGGCACAAUGGGAUUCAAAAUUCAUUUAUUUUUCUUUCUGCAAGGUUCCAGCAGGGGGGAUGAGGGAGUUGUGGAUGCGUUCCUCGCUCUGCUUCCUAUCACUUGACGUUCUAGCCGAAAACCCUGCACCUUGCCGUGCUGCGGCGGGGGCCGGCGGUCAGGCGCGUUCCGGGCGGGGCAGGGGGACACCGCAGGGGUACACUGCAGGGGUCACCGGCUGAGGGACACCGCUCGGGCCCCGCGGCCCCGCCGAAGCCUCGCCGCGGCCCCGUAUCCCGGCAACGCGGCGGCCGCGGGCGGCGCCCGCGCUGGGCGGCCUCGGCCGGGCGGGCCGGGCCCGAGGCAGCGCCAGGGCCGCCCCUCGGCUGCCGCGGCCCGCGGAGCCUCCGCGCCGAGCGGCCGGGCCGUGUCCCGCACUGUCGUGCCCUCGUGUUGCACCUCUCCGGUGUUAGCCAGAGCCGAGCACGCCUUAGACACCGAUGGUUUCCCACGCAGCGGCUCUGCGUCCUAAGAAACAAACUGCUGUUUCUUCGAAGUAUCCAAAUUGUCUGGACAACCAGUGGAAAACACUGUGAUGAACUCAUCUUACCAGCUCCACAGUACAGUUGCAUGACUGGCUUUCUGGAUUCCUGAGUUAAAAGCUCAACUUCUAAGUAAAGAUGAAACAUAUCUCUAAAAAACAGGUAUUUUCUGAACAUGUUUGCAGGAAUGAGACUGUACAUCUCUAUUAACAUUACAUCUUUGACUUCAAGGCACGUUUCUUUUCUAGGUUAUACAGAAUGCUGGGUGCACAAAUAGUGCUUAACUGCUUGCAUGAUUCAGAUGACAGUGACUUGUCUGUCACCUUUUUAUAUAGAAGAUUCCGGAUUCCAAACAUUCCUUGUCAAUGAUUUGUACCUUUCCUCAAUUCUCAUAAGUGAAUAUGAUGAAUAUAUAUACAUGGUAGACAUUAUGCACAGAAAUGCGUAUCGGGAAAAGAGGGAACACGUAUCUUUUUCACUAUGGUUUAAAAAUGCAAUGGACUUUAACUUUGCUCAUGUUUUUUUUUUUUUCCCCUUCCAAAAAAUUUAGUGGGGAACAAUGUACUUUAAAGAAAAUAAGUCAUUGCUUGUAACUCGUUUUCUUAUUUAUUUCCACAUUACUAGAUUUUCCUUCUCUUAUUAUUUUUUAUGAUUUUUUCAUCUUAUAUAAUAACUCUGAUAUCAAACUGGAAAAACAAAUUUGCCUUUCUAUUUAUGUAAUUGGAUGCCAUCAGUCACUUUCCACCAAAGCAGAUCUAGUAAUAAAAGUAAGAUUAGGCAUUCUUUGCUCUCUGAGGAAAUAGUUCAUACUUCAGGGAAUUUAAGCAUAAUGAACUUCUAAAAUCUCCUCAAAUGAAAACAGGAACAUGGUGGAGGACUCAGUUUCUGUAUUCCACUUACUUAAGUGCAGGUUGAUAAAACUAAGAAGUAGUAUUUUGUACAUACUGAUAAUUACUUUUAAAUGAAAUUCCUGAUAGGCUGAAGUCGCUACUCAA